ensembl:lncRNA
CAUCCUAUAUAACUACUGUCUAUACACACCAUCCUAUAUAACUACUGUCUAUACACACCAUCCUAUAUAACUACUGUCUAUACACACCAUCCUCUAUAACUACUGUCUAUACACAUCAUCCUAUAUAACUACUGUCUAUACACACCAUCCUAUAUAACUACUGUCUAUACACACAUCCUACAUAACUACUGUCUAUACACAUCAUCCUAUAUAACUACUGUCUAUACACACCAUCCUGUAUAACUACUGUCUAUACACACCAUCCUAUAUAACUACUGUCUAUACACACCAUCCUGUAUAACUACUGUCUAUACACAACAUCCUAUAUAACUACUGUCUAUACACACCAUCCUGUUUAACUACUGUCUAUACUGUCUAUACACACCAUCCUGUUUAACUACUGUCUAAACUGUCUAUACACACCAUCCUAUAUAACUACUGUCCAUACUGUCUAUACACACCAUCCUAUAUAACUACUGGCUAUACACCACCCUAUAUAACUACUGUCUAUACACACCAUCCUAUAUAACUACUGGCUAUACACCAUCCUAUAUAACUACUGUCUAUACACACCAUCCUAUAUAACUACUGGCUAUACACCAUCCUAUAUAACUACUGUCUAUACACACCAUCCUAUAUAACUACUGGCUAUACACCAUCCUAUAUAACUACUGUCUAUACACACCAUCCUAUAUAACUACUGGCUAUACACCAUCCUAUAUAACUACUGUCUAUACACACCAUCCUGUAUAACUAGUGUCUAUACACACCAUCCUAUAUAACUACUGUCCAUACUGUCUAUACACACCAUGCUGUUUAACUACUGUCCAUACUGUCUAUACACACCAUCCUCUAUAACUAGUGUCUAUACACACCAUCCUAUAUAACUACUGUCCAUACUGUCUAUACACACCAUGCUGUUUAACUACUGUCCAUACUGUCUAUACACACCAUCCUGUAUAACUAGUGUCUAUACACACCAUCCUAUAUAACUACUGUCCAUACUGUCUAUACACACCAUCCUCUAUAACUAGUGUCUAUACACACCAUCCUUUAUAACUACUGUCUAUACACACCAUGCUGUUUAACUACUGUCCAUACUGUCUAUACACACCAUCCUAUAUAACUACUGUCUAUACACACCAUCCUAUAUAACUACUGUCUAUACACACCAUCCUGUAUAACUAGUGUCUAUACACACCAUCCUAUAUAACUACUGUCUAUACACACAUUCCUAUAUAACUAGUGUCUAUACACACCAUGCUGUUUAACUACUGUCCAUACUGUCUAUACACACCAUCCUGUAUAACUAGUGUCUAUACACACCAUGCUGUUUAACUACUGUCCAUACUGUCUAUACACACCAUCCUGUAUAACUAGUGUCUAUGCACACCAUGCUGUUUAACUACUGUCCAUACUGUCUAUACACACCAUUAUAUAGAUUUAUAUUCUGGACUUUGACAUUGCUCCUUCUGAUAUUUCUUCAUGUAUUUAUUUAAUCUGUUUUGAAUAUGUGUGUAUGGUAUUACAGCACUGUUGGAGGUAGGAACAUUUCACUGCACCUGAUAUAACAUCUGCUAAUCUGUGUACCAAUAAACUUCACUUUGAUUUCAGAAGUUCCUCAAAGGGAAGAACAUUCAGUAUAGCUCCUUACUGAUCAUAUUCACACACACCGAUCACAC